rnacentral:lncRNA from 1 species
CAACUAUAGAGGGAUAUUACCUACUCCAUAGGGCUGAUGAGAGGAUUCAUGAGACAGUCGUACUAAAAUACUGAAUACAGUGCCUUGUGAACAGGAACUACACCUUAGUUUGUUUUGAGGAUUAAAGUAGUUAAUAUAUGUAAAGCACUUGCGACAGCAUCUGACACACGUUAAACACCAUACGUAUUAGCUGUUAUUAUCAAUUAUUGGUAGGAAAUAAAGAACCUUGAGCUGAAACUUGUAUUUCAAAUCUGUGACAUCUAU